rfam:Fusarium oxysporum f. sp. cubense tropical race 4 54006 unplaced genomic scaffold supercont1.18, whole genome shotgun sequence.
GCCUCUAUAGCUCAGUGGUAGAGCGUUGCACUUGUAAUGCAAAGGUCCAUCGUUCAAUCCGGUGUGGAGGCA